rnacentral:rRNA from 1 species
AAUUGGAGGGCAAGUCUGGUGCCAGCAGCCGCGGUAAUUCCAGCUCCAAUAGCGUAUAUUAAAGUUGUUGCAGUUAAAAAGCUCGUAGUUGAAUUUCGGGGUCAGUAGAUUGGUCGUGCCACUGGUAUGUACUGGUCUCACUGGCUCCUCCUUCCUGAUGAACCGUAAUGCCAUUAAUUUGGUGUUGCGGGGAGACUGGACUGUUACUUUGAAAAAAUUAGAGUGUUUAAAGCAGGCUAACGCUUGAAUACAUUAGCAUGGAAUAAUGAAAUAGGACGUUCGAUCUUAUUUUGUUGGUUUCUAAGAUUGACGUAAUGAUUAAUAGGGAUAGUUGGGGGCAUUAGUAUUCAAUUGUCAGAGGUGAAAUUCUUGGAUUUAUUGAAGACUAACUACUGCGAAAGCAUUUGCCAAGGAUGUUUUCAUUAAUCAAGAACGAAAGUUAGGGGAUCGAAGACGAUCAGAUACCGUCGUAGUCUUAACCAUAAACUAUGCCGACUAGGGAUCGGAUGAUGUUAAUUUUUUAAUGACUCAUUCGGCGCCUUACGGGAAACCAAAGUGU